CACCCUCGCCCACCGCAGAGGGGCAGAGGCAGGGCUGGCAGUGAAAGCCUCCUUCUUUCUCGAAGGAGCCCUCCUUUGUGGCUCCUGAGGCCCAGAGAUGGGGCAGGCCUGGAGCCAUGCAGGCCUCCACCAGGUAUUACAGAGAGCGCUCGCCAGCGGCAGGUGGACACUGCAUGCUGGACCCCUCUGCACUUGCCUGUUUGUGCUGCUGCUGGCUGGAAGACAAAUAGUCAUCCUGCUGAUUGCUUCCACCGCUGCCAAGCCUCCAGGCCAACAGAGCCAUUUGGAAAAGUGAACAGAAAGCUCAGCUCACAGAUUAAGAAUGCCCCAAACAACCAGUCCCAGGUUACAACCCUCCUGCAAAAAGAAGAGUCUAUGACUGUGAAAAAGCAUAUCUGCAAUCCGGUGCCGCAAAAAUCACAAUAACGGCAGGGCUUAACUUCCUUUUAUCUCCUCCUUUCACGGUCAGAAGCAGAGUCGACAGCAAACAGGCAAUGUCUGCAUCACCAGGUUUAUUUUUACACUUCAACAUUUUCUAUCUCUGUGUCUCUGUGUGUUUAAUUCAGAUGUGAUCAAAGAGCUCCUAGAAACAGGUUCUCAUCAGCCACAUGUUUUAAAGAAAGGAGGAGAGAAAGAGCGAGAAGAGACUAGAGUUUUAAGACAACCAGUAGAGUCUGUUUACCUGUUUUUCAGUGAAACCAAUUUAAAUAAUUUAAAUCUAAGUAAGGUAAUAGAGGACCUUCGGGCGAAAGAAACCAACCCAACCACAUCCCUUGCUUUUUAUCUCGCAACAUUAAGGCUUCUACCACAAACACUUUAGUUAGACUCACAACAGGACCAAGAAGAGCUCUCUGGUCUCACCUGGCGGCAUGAUCUAGUCCAAAAGAGGCCAGUGCUUCAGGCCUCUCUGGCCUUAUGACCCAAAGAGUUGUUACUUAUUUUUUCUCUUGUUUUAAAAAAUACCACAUCUGCUUGUAAGGUUUUUCAGAAUCUAUGCUUUUCCAGAAUAAGACUUAAUAGCAAGUCCAUAGCAGGGCUACCCUGAGGGUACAGCAGAAGUGAUGAAGUGGCUCAGGGGACCCUAAGCCCAGAGUGGGGACAGGAUGAGUAAUUCACAAUUUGGAACAAGAUGACAAUGCAUGCAGCCAGUUCUCUGGACAAAGUUAUCAGGAAGCAGCUUACAUUCCCAAAAGGUGCACAGAGGUCGGCUAUCAUAAAAUCGGUGGGAGGCGAGCACCAGGUUCCUACAACGUGCUCAAGGUGUGUGUCAGAGGCUUGAGGGGAAGAGAAGAAAUCAAUGCACACAUCACAAGAAAAAGACCAUGGCAAGAAUACAUGUACACUGAGUAAACAACACAAAGAAACCACACUGAGGCCCUGUUACUCUGCUCUGCUGAACACAAUGCCCCCCACGGCCUUGCUGAGAGAGUAGGCACUCCACCGCCACGCCCCAGAUGCCUGAGGGUGCCAGUCAGUCACUCAGCCUCCUCCUACCAGCUCAGAAUCAACAGUCUGGGAAAGUCCUCUGGUUAAGCAGGGUUUACCUGCUAAAUAAAAGUUGUGAUGGGAAAAGUAAUGGAACAGGAGAGAGGGCCUUGAGAAAGUGGUUCCCAGGAAGGAAAGAAACACUGGCAUUUGAGGGCAAGACUGAGAUGGAGACCAAGCUCCUGUUUCUAAAGACCUCAGUCCCAUGCCAAAUCCAGUGAUAAAAUGGAACUCAACCAUCUCUCCCUCUCAACCCGUUUCACCCCCUAGAAACAGUCAGUCAAUUCACAGGUUAUGAAAGGGUCAACCACUGCAGAAAAAACUUAUCCAGAACUCCUCUUGAGUUCCUGACUGUCCAGAUGACAGAGACAGAGGGGCUAACAAAAGAGAAAAACAUAGGAAAAAUGAAAAGAGGGAAGAUUUUUUUUUAAGAUGUUAAUGUUAAGAUGCAAGAGCCGUUAAUAUGCAAGAGAAUAUAACAAUGGUUCUAUUGCGCUAGCCAGAAAGAAGGGAACAAGAGGAAAACAUAAUGAAUGUAACAAGAGAAAAGAAUGCAAAAAAGCACUGCAAGCCCCAUGGGUGAAGAGCUCUUUUUUCAAGUUGAGUUUUUUUUUUUUUUGCCUAGUAAAGUUCUCCACCAGGUGACAAGAAGGGGACUCUCCAGAGUAGGCAGCAAGGGACACCAGAGACGGCGAAAGAAAGGGGAGGGGUGGAAAGUGGACGCCUCUCGGCCGAGAGGUGAGAUGACACAGAAAAGGCUAAGGCUUGGGUGACAAAUGAUAGCAGUGAUUGCCAGGAUGAGGGGACAGGGAGCAGCAGCUCAAGAAACUAGCAUGCAAAAUUCCUGCUCUGGGGAGUCACAAAGGCUAGCCAAUCACAAGGGGAUGGACGGGGGGCAUCCGUGGGGGAAAUAAACAUGAUGUGAAGAAGGCUGGAGAAGAAUAUGGAGAUGAAAGGCAAUCCUGAUGAAGAGGACUGGUACUAAGUAAGAUGGGGUGAGGGCAGAGAAACGGGAAGGCAACAAGCAAAGGGGAAGAUACUAAGUGACAGAUUCCUGAGUGAAGAAACAGGAAAGCAUCACGGCUUGGCUUGUGUUGCGGUGCAAGAAGACAGAAAGGGAAGGACCAGGAUGAAGCGAGGCCUGGGAAAGGACCGCGCAACAGGUGGUGUUCAUGGAGCAGGGCUGAAAUAGUGAGUCUUUCCCUCCGCAGGAAGAGCCCUUGGGAGGCUUGUACAACACUCGCCGUGAGAAACAGGAGGCCAAACCAAAACUUAAAAAAACAAGCCCCAGAGGAAGAGAACGUGAGGGAUCUCAGGGCUCUGAAGGGAGGGAAGACUGGAACCCCAAAGACAACCUGUGGGAAAACUCUGCGCAUGACAGCUGCACGGGGAAACACGGAAGCAACAAAUGCCAGCGCGAGGCACCAGGGAGCUCCUGGAGAAGAGAAGGGAAAGUGAUGAGCAAAGAGUAGGCGAGCGAUUUGGAAAGGUGAUGAGGGUGGAGCUGGUGGGUUGCAAGCAAGAGGGCGAGCACAACGUGGAACAGGAGGAGGCAGGGUAAAAAGCCGGGGGACUGACAGGGUGACAAGGAUCGAGGUCACAGUCCGGGGCAAGGACCCUGAGGGUGAUAACUGGGACUGGGAGAACCGGUGCGGGCGGAGGGGAAGCCAGGCUAGAGGGAUGGAGGAAGAGGUGGACAACGAUCUGGGGCAAAUCGCAGGGUGUUAGUCGAGGAGCAGGAAGGUGGCUGCUUUCAGCGUGGGUGGAGGAAGACCAAAAAGGCCCCUGAGAGAGAAAGGGAAGAGAAGAGGAAGCUGGGGAGGUAACACGGAAGAGCGCAGGAGGGCGGUGAAGGGAGAAGGGCCGGGGGGAGGAGGGGUGGUCGGCAGAAAGACAAGUGUGCAGCUUGGAGUCCGGACGAGGCAGCCGCCGCCGGACCUGCUGCUCCCAACAUGGCCGCCACCACCGCCGGUCCUCGGCUCUUUCCGCCGGCAGCAGCCGGAAACAUCCGAAGCGACUAGAAACGGGAGGGAGGCGCGCCUUCUCCUCCCAGCCACCGACUACUGGUGAAUUCCGGAAACACCCGAAGAAGGUAAUCCUGGGGACGCGCGCGGCUCCUCGAUUCCGAAGACCAAGCUUCGGCUCUGUUUACGGAAAUGUACGAAGAGACUCCGGGUACUCCAGCCACGCCUACAGGCCUUUCCCCGCCCCCUUCAAGCUGGUUUUCGGCAGUUUCCGGAAACACCCGAAGCAGCUCCGCGCUCUGGGAGCGGGCCACGCCCCCAUCCCGCCCCGCCGCGAACGGCGGUCGUCGGCCAUUUCCGGCAACACCCGCGAUCGGGCGAGCCUCGGGUCAUUCCCUCGGAUGGUACCAAAAGUCUGACUCUUCGUUUCUUUCCGUCAGUUUUCGGGUAUUUGCAAAUCUUGAACAGGGAGCGUAGAUCACGUGUGCGUGUUACUAUUUGACUAAGUAGAAAAUAAAACUGUUAAGCCCUG